rnacentral:rRNA from 1 species
GACGAACGCUGGCGGCGUGCUUAACACAUGCCAGUCGAACGGAAAGGCCCUGCUUUUGUGGGGUGCUCGAGUGGCGAACGGGUGAGUAACACGUGAGUAACCUGCCCUUGACUUUGGGAUAACUUCAGGAAACUGGGGCUAAUACCGGAUAGGAGCUCCUGCUGCAUGGUGGGGGUUGGAAAGUUUCGGCGGUUGGGGAUGGACUCGCGGCUUAUCAGCUUGUUGGUGGGGUAGUGGCUUACCAAGGCUUUGACGGGUAGCCGGCCUGAGAGGGUGACCGGCCACAUUGGGACUGAGAUACGGCCCAGACUCCUACGGGAGGCAGCAGUGGGGAAUAUUGCACAAUGGGCGGAAGCCUGAUGCAGCAACGCCGCGUGCGGGAUGACGGCCUUCGGGUUGUAAACCGCUUUCGCCUGUGACGAAGCGUGAGUGACGGUAAUGGGUAAAGAAGAACCGGCUAACUACGUG